rnacentral:rRNA from 1 species
ACGUAGGUGGAAAGCGUUGUCCGGAUUUACUGGGCGUAAAGCGAGCGCAGGCGGUUCUUUAAGAAUGAUGUGAAAGCCUUAGGCUCAACCGGAGAAGGACAUCGGAAACUGGGAAACUUGAGUGCAGAAGAGGAGAGUGGAAGUCCACGUGUAGCGGUGAAAUGCGUAGAUAUAUGGAAGAACACCAGGGGCAGAGGCGGCAGGCUGGGCUGUAACUGACGCUGAGGCUCGAAAGCAUGGGUAGCAAACAG